GUAUCUGGAAGCCAUCUUGGAUUGGAAGACCCUCUCUAUGGAGUUGCUCUCACACAUUUACCACACCACCAUGUUGGGAACAUGAGAAAAUUCAACAGCAGCUGGUACCGGAUUCCAAGAGGGAAGGAAGCACACGGAUGUACUGAGUGGUCUCUUCAGAGGUCCAGAGAGGAGGGUUAACACAGAUCUAACACGUCCUCGGCUAGGGUUAUUUACAUAAUUACAAUGCUGGAGUUGUCUGCAGUACAAGUUGCGCGUGUGGGAAUCUCACCAAUGCCCCGGAAACACAAAGCCCGUCUUCUGUGGCCAGUCACUCCCUUGUCCGUCCAUUUCCAAACCUCACACGCCGCUGAGAUGCUACUGACGGAUUGCAAGGGGCAGCAUGGACAACGUUCGAUCCGAGUAUCCCAGUCAUUCACAGAGGCUUCCCAAGACCCUUGGCCGGGAACUUCUGUCUCCACAUCACCCAAGUCUCAACCUUUGCAUUGCAAUGAAGUGGUUUUCUUAAGGGGAUCCCGAGGAGGCUCCCAGAGAAGAUGAUAGACACUCCGAGCCUGCCAGUUACAGGAAGCUGUCCUCCACCAGGUCUGAGGAAUCUAUGCCAAUAUCAUCCAUCAUGUCGAUGUCCUCAAUGGUCUCGUCCUCUCUCUUGAUGAAAGUGGAACUACUGGAACCCGUCUCGAUGGCGCUCUCUUCCGAAGUCUGCGAGCUGAUGGGAUUGAAAGACAAACGUCAUGAACAGACUCACUUCCAGGGCUGCAUU
rnacentral:lncRNA from 1 species